rnacentral:lncRNA from 1 species
AGUUGGGCGCGGCUGCGCGCAAGUAUUAAAUCGCGUCUUUUUGCUACUGUAAGUUGCGCAGCCGCGCAGGAAAUCGCGCGCCCAUGAGGUUGAUUUUCUGCUGCAGUGUACUCUGGUAAAAUGGCAAUAACUUUUGAUCCGGGAAACAUUACGGGGCCUGCCACCUAUCAAAUCAAAGCUAUCGACGAGCUCUACAACUUUCAUUCUUUGAUGAUUCAGAAAUUCUAGACGGAUGAAGGCUGAAAGUGGUCUGGAAGUGACUGCUGUGAAACUAGCUAACCAAAAUAGCGAAGUUCAACGUCCGUUGGUACAAAGAUCAUAACUCUUGCAUCCGAACUCCGAUUGGAAUGAUUCAAGGUAUCCCGGAAAGCUUAGAAGAAGCUCUACAACAUAGUCCAAGUUCCAAGCCAAGAACAUGAAAUGAACACGAUAGCCCAAAU